rnacentral:misc_RNA from 1 species
AGCUAAAAUUCCACCACCAAAAAUUAAUCUUCCGAACACUCCUGUGCAACGGGUAAAUUCAAUGGGUGCUGUAUCUGCCCCACAGAUGGGUGCAGUUGCUGCAACAGCAUCACAGAAUCUUGGCUUUAGAGGGCCAGGAGUUCCAAAUGCUAUUAUGAAUCAGCAUUACUUUCCUUCUCAACAAAGUCAGUCAAUAAGACCACCUCAGGCUAUCCCUCCUGGAAUUGCUUCCUGUCCCCCUCAGGGCAUCAUUAGUCCAGAAUUCUCUAGAGGUAGUAUGCCUACAAGCACUGCUUCUUAUCCCUCUCAAUCCAUUCCUGGUUCCAUUUCUAGUCCCAGCAUCCCAAAUUCAAACAUCUCAACCGGUUGGACUGGUGGAAAGACUAGUGCAGCUUUGACUGGCCUUCCAUCUACACCCAAUGCUACAA